rnacentral:rRNA from 1 species
GUACACACCGCCCGUCACACCAUGAGAGUUGGAAAUACCCGAAGCCUGUGAGCUAACUGUAAAGAGGCAGCAGUCGAAGGUAGAGCCAAUGAUUGGGGUGAAGUCGUAACAAGGUACC